UACGUAGGGUGCGAGCGUUGUCCGGAAUUAUUGGGCGUAAAGAGCUCGUAGGCGGCUUGUCGCGUCGGAUGUGAAAGCCCGGGGCUUAACUCCGGGUCUGCAUUCGAUACGGGCAGGCUAGAGUUCGGUAGGGGAGAUCGGAAUUCCUGGUGUAGCGGUGAAAUGCGCAGAUAUCAGGAGGAACACCGGUGGCGAAGGCGGCUCACUGGCCCGAUACUGACGCUGAGGCACGAAAGCGUGGGGAGCAAACAGG
rnacentral:rRNA from 1 species